AUACGGAGGAUGCGAGCGUUAUCCGGAUUUAUUGGGUUUAAAGGGUGCGUAGGCGGAAGCUUAAGCGUGAGGUGAAAUGCCCGGGCUCAACCUGGGAACUGCCUCGCGAACUGGGUUUCUUGAAUGCUCCUGCCGUGGGAGGAAUGUGUGGUGUAGCGGUGAAAUGCAUAGAGAUCACACAGAACACCGAUUGCGAAAGCUGCACACGAAGGGGUGAAUGACGCUGAGGCACGAAAGCGUUGGGGUCAAACAGGAUUAGAUGCCGUGGUAGUCCACGGAGUAAACGAUGAUAACUCACCGCUGAACACUGCCGACCAGUGGCCUAGCGAAAGCAAUAAGUAAUCCACCUGGGGAGUACGACCGCAAGGUUGAAGCUGAAAGGAAUUGACGCUG
rnacentral:rRNA from 1 species